rnacentral:rRNA from 1 species
UACGAAGGGGGCUAGCGUUGCUCGGAAUCACUGGGCGUAAAGCGCACGUAGGCGGAUCCUUAAGUCGGGGGUGAAAUCCUGGAGCUCAACUCCAGAACUGCCUUCGAUACUGAAGAUCUUGAGUUCGGGAGAGGUGAGUGGAACUGCGAGUGUAGAGGUGAAAUUCGUAGAUAUUCGCAAGAACACCAGUGGCGAAGGCGGCUCACUGGCCCGAUACUGACGCUGAGGCACGAAAGCGUGGGGAGCAAACAGG